UUAAAGAGUUCUAUAACUCCCAAACCCAUGUGAACAUACCUAACGUUGCCUCGGCAGGUCGCACCUACCUUGUAGCACCCUACCCUGUAGGGCCUACCCGGGAGGUGCGGGUAAGCCUGCCGGCGGCCCACCAAACUCUGUUUGAUAUUGAAUUCUGAACCUAUAACUAAAUAAGUUAAAACUUUCAACAACGGAUCUCUUGGUUCUGGCAUCGAUGAAGAACGCAGCGAAAUGCGAUAAGUAAUGUGAAUUGCAGAAUUCAGUGAAUCAUCGAAUCUUUGAACGCAUAUUGCGCCCAUUAGUAUUCUAGUGGGCAGGACCGUUCGAGCGUCAUUUCAACCCUUAAGCCUUCGUUGCUUAGUGUUGGGAGCCUACGGCAACGUAGCUCCUCAAAGUUAGUGGCGGAGUUGGUUCACACUCUAGACGUAGUAAUUUUUUAUCUCGCCUAUUAGUUGGACUAAUCCCCUGCCGUAAAACCCCCAAUUUAUCAAGGUUGACCUCGAAUCGGUUCAGACAAACUCGCUAAAUUGAAGCAUCUUAGUCAGCGAAGGAAAAGAAACCAACAGGGAUUGCCCUAGUAACGGCGAGUGAAGCGGCAACAGCUCAAAUUUGAAAUCUGGCCCUCGGGUCCGAGUUGUAAUUUGUAGAGGAUGCUUUUGGCGCGGUGCCUUCCGAGUUCCCUGGAACGGGACGCCUUAGAGGGUGAGAGCCCCGUACGGUUGGACACCAAGCCUCUGUAAAGCUCCUUCGACGAGUCGAGUAGCUUGGGAAUGCUGCUCUAAAUGGGA
rnacentral:rRNA from 1 species